GACGAACGCUGGCGGCGUGCCUAAUACAUGCAAGUUGAGCGCUGAAGGUUGGUACUUGUACCAACUGGAUGAGCAGCGAACGGGUGAGUAACGCGUGGGGAAUCUGCCUUUGAGCGGGGGACAACAUUUGGAAACGAAUGCUAAUACCGCAUAAAAACUUUAAACACAAGUUUUAAGUUUGAAAGAUGCAAUUGCAUCACUCAAAGAUGAUCCCGCGUUGUAUUAGCUAGUUGGUGAGGUAAAGGCUCACCAAGGCGAUGAUACAUAGCCGACCUGAGAGGGUGGUUGGCCACAUUGGGAAUGGGAAACGGCCCAAACUCCUACGGGAGGCAGCAGUAGGGAAUCUUCGGCAAUGGACGAAAGUCUGACCGAGCAACGCCGCGUGAGUGAAGAAGGUUUUCGGAUCGUAAAACUCUGUUGGUAGAGAAGAACGUUGGUGAGAGUGGAAAGCUCAUCAAGUGACGGUAACUACCCAGAAAGGGACGGCUAACUACGUG
rnacentral:rRNA from 1 species